GUCGGGAAUUUUGCGCAAUGGAGGGAACUCUGACGCAGUGACGCCGCGUAUAGGAAGAAGGUUUUCGGAUUGUAAACUAUUGUCGAUAGGGAAGAAAUAAGACAGUACCUAUCAAGAAAGCUCCGGCUAACUACGUGCCAGCAGCCGCGGUAAUACGUAGGGAGCAAGCGUUAUCCGGAAUUAUUGGGUGUAAAGGGUGCGUAGACGGGAAAGCAAGUCAGUUGUGAAAUCCCUCGGCUUAACUGAGGAACUGCAACUGAAACUACAUUUCUUGAGUGCAGGAGAGGAAAGUGGAAUUCCUAGUGUAGCGGUGAAAUGCGUAGAUAUUAGGAGGAACACCAGUGGCGAAGGCGACUUUCUGGACUGUAACUGACGUUGAGGCACGAAAGUGUGGGGAGCAAACAGG
rnacentral:rRNA from 1 species